rnacentral:tRNA from 1 species
UGGGGUAUGGCUCAGGGGUAGAGUGCAUGCUUAGCAUGUAGGAGGUCCUGGGUUCAAUCCCCAGUGCCUCCA